rnacentral:rRNA from 1 species
AGAGUUUGAUCCUGGCUCAGGACGAACGCUGGCGGCACGCUUAACACAUGCAAGUCGAACGAGAGAAGAGGAGCUUGCUUUUCUGAUCUAGUGGCGGACGGGUGAGUAACACGUGAGCAAUCUGCCUUUCAGAGGGGGAUACCGAUUGGAAACGAUCGUUAAUACCGCAUAACAUAAUUGAACCGCAUGAUUUGAUUAUCAAAGAUUUAUCGCUGAAAGAUGAGCUCGCGUCUGAUUAGCUAGUUGGUAAGGUAACGGCUUACCAAGGCGACGAUCAGUAGCCGGACUGAGAGGUUGAUCGGCCACAUUGGGACUGAGACACGGCCCAGACUCCUACGGGAGGCAGCAGUGGGGAAUAUUGCACAAUGGAGGAAACUCUGAUGCAGCGAUGCCGCGUGAGGGAAGAAGGUUUUAGGAUUGUAAACCUCUGUCCUCAGGGACGAAAAAAGACGGUACCUGAGGAGGAAGCUCCGGCUAACUACGUGCCAGCAGCCGCGGUAAUACGUAGGGAGCGAGCGUUGUCCGGAAUUACUGGGUGUAAAGGGAGCGUAGGCGGGAUCGCAAGUCAGAUGUGAAAACUAUGGGCUUAACCCAUAAACUGCAUUUGAAACUGUGGUUCUUGAGUGAAGUAGAGGUAAGCGGAAUUCCUAGUGUAGCGGUGAAAUGCGUAGAUAUUAGGAGGAACAUCAGUGGCGAAGGCGGCUUACUGGGCUUUAACUGACGCUGAGGCUCGAAAGCGUGGGGAGCAAACAGGAUUAGAUACCCUGGUAGUCCACGCCGUAAACGAUGAUUACUAGGUGUGGGGGGACUGACCCCUUCCGUGCCGCAGCAAACGCAAUAAGUAAUCCACCUGGGGAGUACGACCGCAAGGUUGAAACUCAAAGGAAUUGACGGGGGCCCGCACAAGCAGUGGAGUAUGUGGAUUAAUUCGAAGCAACGCGAAGAACCUUACCAGGUCUUGACAUCGUAUGCAUAGCUCAGAGAUGAGUGAAAUCUCUUCGGAGACAUAUAGACAGGUGGUGCAUGGUUGUCGUCAGCUCGUGUCGUGAGAUGUUGGGUUAAGUCCCGCAACGAGCGCAACCCUUACUGUUAGUUGCUACGCAAGAGCACUCUAGCAGGACUGCCGUUGACAAAACGGAGGAAGGUGGGGAUGACGUCAAAUCAUCAUGCCCCUUAUGACCUGGGCCUCACACGUACUACAAUGGCUGUCAACAGAGGGAAGCAAAGCCGCGAGGUGGAGCGAACCCCUAAAAGCAGUCUUAGUUCGGAUUGUAGGCUGCAACCCGCCUACAUGAAGUCGGAAUUGCUAGUAAUCGCAGAUCAGCAUGCUGCGGUGAAUACGUUCCCGGGCCUUGUACACACCGCCCGUCACGCCAUGGGAGUCGGUAACACCCGAAGCCUGUAGUCUAACCGCAAGGAGGACGCAGUCGAAGGUGGGAUUGAUGACUGGGGUGAAGUCGUAACAAGGUA